UACGUAGGGUGCGAGCGUUGUCCGGAAUUAUUGGGCGUAAAGGGCUCGUAGGCGGUUUGUCGCGUCGGGAGUGAAAACCUCGGGCUUAACUCGGGGCUUGCUUUCGAUACGGGCAGACUGGAGGUAUGCAGGGGAGAACGGAAUUCCUGGUGUAGCGGUGAAAUGACGCAGAUAUCAGGAGGAACACCGGUGGCGAAGGCGGUUCUCUGGGCAUGACCUGACGCUGAGGAGCGAAAGUGUGGGGGAGCGAACAGG
rnacentral:rRNA from 1 species